rnacentral:tRNA from 1 species
ACCCAUAUAGCUCAGUUGGUAGAGCAUGAGGCUCUUCAUCUCAAGGUUGUGGGUUCGAGCCCCACAUUGGGCA